UACGUAGGGGGCGAGCGUUGUUCGGAAUUACUGGGCGUAAAGGGCUCGUAGGCGGCCAACUAAGUCACACGUGAAAUCCCCAGGCUUAACCUGGGAACUGCGUGUGAUACUGGAUGGCUUGAAUUCGGGAGAGGGAUGCAGAAUUCCAGGUGUAGCGGUGAAAUGCGUAGAUAUCUGGAGGAAUACCGGUGGCGAAGGCGGCAUCCUGGACCGACAUUGACGCUGAGGAGCGAAAGCUAGGGGAGCAAACGGG
rnacentral:rRNA from 1 species